ACGCUUCUUUUCUACCAAGUGCUUGCACUCAUUUGAAAAGAGGAGUGGCGGACGGGUGAGUAACACGUGGGUAACCUGCCCAUCAGAGGGGGAUAACACUUGGAAACAGGUGCUGAUACCGCAUAAUAGUCGACACCGCAUGGUGUUGAUUUGAAAGACGCUUUCGGGUGUCACUGAUGGAUGGACCCGCGGUGCAUUAGCUAGUUGGUGAGGUAACGGCUCACCAAGGCGAUGAUGCAUAGCCGACCUGAGAGGGUGAUCGGCCACACUGGGACUGAGACACGGCCCAGACUCCUACGGGAGGCAGCAGUAGGGAAUCUUCGGCGAUGGACGAAAGUCUGACCGAGCAACGCCGCGUGAGUGAAGAAGGUUUUCGGAUCGUAAAACUCUGUUGUUAGAGAAGAACAAGUAGGAGAGUAACUGCUCUUACCUUGACGGUAUCUAACCAGAAAGCCACGGCUAACUACGUGCCAGCAGCCGCGGUAAUACGUAGGUGGCAAGCGUUGUCCGGAUUUAUUGGGCGUAAAGCGAGCGCAGGCGGUUUCUUAAGUCUGAUGUGAAAGCCCCCGGCUCAACCGGGGAGGGUCAUUGGAAACUGGGAGACUUGAGUGCAGAAGAGGAGAGUGGAGUUCCAUGUGUAGCGGUGAAAUGCGUAGAUAUAUGGAGGAACACCAGUGGCGAAGGCGACUCUCUGGUCUGUAACUGACGCUGAGGCUCGAAAGCGUGGGGAGCAAACAGGAUUAGAUACCCCUGUUAGUUCCACGCCCGUAAACGAUGAAUUGCUAAGUGUUGGGAGGGUUUCG
rnacentral:rRNA from 1 species